CUUUUAGCGCAGUAAGUAAAUGAGCUUGUGCAGUUCUGUGCAUUAUGGACGCGUCCUCACCGAAAAGUGUUCGGGAGUCUCGGCUUGUGAGGAUUCCUUCCAGCGUGUCCAGCUAUGUCAGCUGAUGGUGACUGCUUCAGAAAAGAGGCGGAGAGGUGGAGAGCGUGCAGUUCUUUGUGUGGGUGCAUCCAAUAGCAGGACAGCGUCAGUCCCCUGCAUACCUCCCAGGAUUCCGUUUACCUUUCUCAGAGGAAUGUGGACGGGUAAACAUGCGAACAGGACCAUGAAAGAUUGUGUUUUAUCAAUCUGCUACUGCACAUUUGCUUUGUUUGUUACUCUGCUGCCAGUUUAAGCAGUUUUAUUAAGCGUAUGUGCUUCCUGUGCUUGGUUUUACUGCCGCUCUGCUUGGUUUUACUGCUGCUCUGACUGAGAGCGCUCUCCAGGACGCCCCCCUUAAAUAGCGGAGUCUCUGGUAGGUAUCUUGUGCUCGCUUCGGCAGCACAUAUACUAAAAUUGGAACGAUACAGAGAAGAUUAGCAUGGCCCCUGCGCAAGGAUGACACGCAAAUUCGUGAAGCGUUCCAUAUUUUUGUGCCUUACGUGAGGUCUGACUACCAUUUUUUCACUGUUUGACCCAAUAUUUGGUCCUUGGUCCGACUUUCUAAAUCGUAAGGUCAGUCGUCUUUGAAUAAAGUUUUGUAUUUUAGAGGUUGUGAGGAUUCUUUCCAGCGUGUCCAGCUAUGUCAGCUGAUGGUGACUGCUUCAGAAAAGAGGUGGAGAGCAUGCAGUUCUUUGUGCGGGUGCAUCCAAUAGCAGCGCGGCAGUCCAAUGCAUACCUCCCAGGAUUCCACUCACCUGUCUCUGAGGGACUUGCAUGAGUAAAGAUGUGAACAGGAACAUCAAAGAUUGUGUUUGAUUAAUCUGCUGUUGCACAUUUGCUUUGUUUGUUUCUCUGUUGGCAGUUUAAGCAGUUUUAUUAAGCGUAUGUGCUUGAUGUGCUUGGUUUUACUUCUGCCCUGACUGACAGCGCUCUCCAGGACGCACCCCUUAAGUAGCAGAACCUCGGGUACCAUGGACCCUGCGCAAGGAUCACACGCAAAUUCGUGAAGCGGUCCAUAUUUUUGUGCCCUAUGUCAAAGUCAAAGUGUUUUUAUUUGUUAAGUGCACAGUAUAACACAGGUCAUUCUGAGCAAAGAAAUUCUUAUGACAUGGCAGGCAGCAACUACGUAGAAGCAGAGCAAAAAUAUCAAAAAAUAUCAAAAAUAUACAUAAUAUUAAACAUAUUUAAAUAUUAGCAGCAGUACCAGCCUGUACAGAUGGGGGAUAUGGACAGUGAGAAUUGGAGUAUUAAAUAUUUAAUUAUUAAACAUAAAGUGCAGGAGUGCUGAUGAAUAUGUGCAUAAGAUUGUGAUAAUGUACAUUGAACGUACAUAGGAAGUGAAGGAGCAUACAUAGGAGGUCAUGUGAUCAAUGUGAUCCCUGAGAUUAAUGUUGCUGGUUGAGAAGCCUGAUGGCCUGGGGGAAAAAACUGUUUGUGAGUCUGGUCGUCCGUGCCCGGAUGCUCCGGUAGCGUCUACCAGACGGCAGCAGCGAGAACAGACCAUAGCCUGGGUGGCUGAAGUCUUAUGAUUUUCUGUGCUUUCCUAAGGCAUCGUGUGUGGUAGAUGCCUUGCACAGAGGGGAGGUGGCAGCCAAUGAUGCGCUCCGCUGUCUUCACCACCCUCUGGAGGGCUUUGCGGUCAGCAGCUGCCGUACCAGGCAGUAAUGCAACCGGGUCUGACUAACAUUUUUCCAAUGUUUGACUCCGUAUUUUGGUCCUUGUUCCGACUCUGAAUCCUGAUCCUGUAUCCAGGACACAAGAUGGCGGUGCCCUGUGUGAGGUCUGGUAUGUUUGUGGCUUUUUCCUCUUUAGAGCUUGUUUUUUUUUCAUGUAAUGAGGGUAAAAUGUUUCCGAAAGGUGGCAGCAAGCAGAAAGGCCAUUCAUAGCAAUUUAGGCCUACGUAGAACUUUGGAAAUGCUGCGAUAUGAUCGGUUUGUGGCAGGUUAGGAAACAAAACUGAACAGACGAUUGUCUGGAUGUACAGGUCUGGCGGUCAGCGUCUGCUUGACCUUUGCUUGUAGUUCCCCUGGGGACAGCGGACGGUUGCCUAAAAACGCAGAGUUGGCAGAAGCGGGCGGGGCGCGGCGCGCGGGCCCAGGUUGGGGUGUCUUCCGACGAAGCCACUUGACGUAGCUGAAAGAUUUUAUCAAUCAGUUGCAUUCUCUGCAAAAUUGCAAUAAGAGCGCCUGCUAUAGAAAACAGUAUUUUAUGGCACUUACGUGAUCUUGCUCUUUUCCUCUGACUCGUAGAGGUCCCUCAGCAUGUCCGAUUUGUAUUUUCCAAAGCCAACGAGGCCGGGCUGGCUGGCCAGGGACCGCGCUUCCUCCUGCGCCUUGUGGAACCUGACUAACUCCACGAAGUCAGGGUAGACGCAGGCGUAACGGGUGAGAGCGUCCUUGUUGGCCAUCUGAGACCCCUCGGACACGCUGGUCUCCCGCUCCCUCUGGUGCCCAUGCACCAGGUGGAUGGCGUAGCCCACGUCAUUCCCAGUAGCCAGCGGAAGGUCUGACCCUGGUACUUGCCAAACUCCAUGGUGCAUUGGCUCAGCACCAGUCUGGCGUUCCCAGGGUCACCUCUCGAGGAGAUGACGUGGACCCGCGCCACCGCCUCCACCUCCUCUGGCUUCCUCGCCCUAAAUGGGGCUCUGCCUCCAGAGGCACCUGGGAGCGAGAGCCUCAGCCCCUCUGGUGAAGGUUUCAGGAUGAGACUCCCCGAAGGAAGUCUCCUAAAGAUCGGAUUUUCCCUGAUUGAUGGAAAAUGUGUUAAUUAAUAAGUGACCUGGUCAGACCCUGGUACUUUCCAAACUCUGCGGUGCUGUGGCUCAGAAUCAGUUUGGCGUCCCCCAGAGACGAUUGAUGGAAUUAAAGCACGCACUCCCACACUCCCAUGAUGAGUUUCUUUACUUGUACACAGGGCAAAAUAUGCUUAUGACAAGGUACUUAGGCUCGGGAAGUUAUAGGGAAUAUUUCUGCAAAUGUUUAAUGUCAUUUUGAUUAGUUUGUGGCAGUCAUUCAACUCCCUUGAGCAUUCUUGAAGUUUCCAGAGUUUUCACUAAAGAGUCUAGAAAGGAAAUUUUGUUGAAUUCCCAAUCGAUUUUUGAAGAUUUCUUCAAUUCAAUUUCCAAUUAAAUCCCAGAGCGGGUAUUUAUACAGAGUAUUGAAAAGUCACUUAAGUCUGCAUAAAAUGCAGUUUAAAUACAGUUAAAUAGUAUUCACAUUUAAUGUGCUUGAAGUAUUUCCAAAUGCAUGGACCCCAAAUAAUAAUGCUUUUUUUAAAUUUAAAGUUUUCAAAUACUUAAAGUACUACAGCUGUUUUUCAAAUGUUCUUUUUCCAAAUGCCUUGGAUGAAGUAGAAUUUAAGGCCACUGGGUGCGUUUGAAUGCUUUUGCAGAAAACUGAUAAGUAACAGAAAAUUGUGUUCUUUGAUUUGAGAUGUUAGUUGUGACCUUUUUCCAUUUAAAAAGCUGCUGAGUAAUUUUGGGAGAUAAAUGGUUGUCUGCUAUUGAUGUGCGACUUGGCUGUUUUUAUCCUCUGUUGAAUGAUGCAAAUGUUAAAUUGUGUACACCACCGUGCGUGCAUAUUUUAAAUAAAACUUGAAAUGAAACUUAA